rnacentral:rRNA from 1 species
CCUACGGGAGGCAGCAGUGGGGAAUCUUGGACAAUGGGCGCAAGCCUGAUCCAGCAAUGCCGCGUGGGUGAAGACGGCCUGCGGGUUGUAAAGCCCUUUUCGCCGGGAAGAAGGCCCUGGGUUGAACAGGCUCAGGGGGUGACGUUACCGGCGGAAGAAGCACCGGCCAACUCCGUGCCAGCAGCCGCGGUAAUACGGAGGGUGCGAGCGUUAAUCGGAAUUACUGGGCGUAAAGCGCGCGUAGGUGGUCAGUUAAGUCCGUUGUGAAAGCCCUGGGCUCAACCUGGGAACGGCAAGGGAGACUGACUGGCUAGAGUGUAACAGAGGACCGUGGAAUUCCCGGUGUAGCGGUGAAAUGCGUAGAGAUCGGGAAGAACACCGAUGGCGAAGGCAGCGGUCUGGGUUAACACUGACGCUGAGGUGCGAAAGCGUGGGUAGCAAACAGGAUUAGAUACCCUGGUAGUCCACGCGGUAAACGAUGAGAACUAGACGUCAGGCGGGUAUGACUGUUUGGUGUCGGAGCUAACGCGUUAAGUUCUCCGCCUGGGGAGUACGGCCGCAAGGUUGAAACUCAAAGGAAUUGACGG